rnacentral:lncRNA from 1 species
AUCAGAGAUCUUUGACAGAUAAUGAUUUGGCACAAGAUGUGGACUGUGUCUAGAGAAAUCCCUUUGGCACUUACUGCCAAAUGCUGAAGGAGGAACUGUCUUCUUCCCAUGACACCCGUUGGAGCAGGACAUACUCAGAACUUCAGAGAAGCAACCUGGUAUCUCAAAAGAAAAAAUAUUUACCAGGAGGAAGAAAAGCUAUGUUUUCCUGUCACCAUCCUGAGGUCUUUUUGAAGGCACUUUUGCUUCCUGCAUCAGCCUGGGAGUCACAGUGUUUGCUCUGUUCUUCUCACAUCUCUUCCCAGUGAUACAAUCCCUCUGCAGCCUCUCCCAGGGAGCUGCCCACAGCUCUGACCACCCAGCGCCAGCAUCCUCAGCAGAUGUGAUGCAAUAAAUGCUGUAAACACUCC